rnacentral:rRNA from 1 species
GAACGCUGGCGGCGUGCUUAACACAUGCAAGUCGAACGGAAAGGCCCUUCGGGGUGCUCGAGUGGCGAACGGGUGAGUAACACGUGGGUGAUCUGCCCUGCACUUUGGGAUAAGCCUGGGAAACUGGGUCUAAUACCGAAUAGGACCGCAUGCUUCAUGGUGUGUGGUGGAAAGCUUUUGCGGUGUGGGAUGGGCCCGCGGCCUAUCAGCUUGUUGGUGGGGUAAUGGCCUACCAAGGCGACGACGGGUAGCCGGCCUGAGAGGGUGACCGGCCACACUGGGACUGAGAUACGGCCCAGACUCCUACGGGAGGCAGCAGUGGGGAAUAUUGCACAAUGGGCGCAAGCCUGAUGCAGCGACGCCGCGUGAGGGAUGACGGCCUUCGGGUUGUAAACCUCUUUCAAUAGGGACGAAGCGCAAGUGACGGUACCUGUAGAAGAAGGACCGGCCAACUACGUGCCAGCAG